rnacentral:rRNA from 1 species
GGCGGCGUGCUUAACACAUGCAAGUCGAGUGCGCGCCUGUAGCAAUACAGGUGGCGCACGGCGCACGGGUGCGUAACACGUGGGCAAUCUGCCCUCGGAUGGGGGAUAACUCGUCGAAAGGCGAGCUAAUACCGCAUGACAUUCCGAAGACUCCGGUCUUUGGACUCAAAGGCCGCAAGGCCGUCUGAGGAGGAGCCCGCGCCCGAUUAGCUAGUUGGUGAGGUAACGGCUCACCAAGGCUUUGAUCGGUAGCCGGUCUGAGAGGAUGGCCGGCCACACUGGAACUGAGACACGGUCCAGACUCCUACGGGAGGCAGCAGUGGGGAAUAUUGCGCAAUGGGCGAAAGCCUGACGCAGCGACGCCGCGUGGGGGAUGAAGCUUCUCGGAGUGUAAACCCCUUUCGACCCGGACGAAUGACCCGCAAGGGUUUGACGGUACGGGUAUAANAAGCCCCGGCUAACUACGUGCCAGCAGCCGCGGUAAUACGUAGGGGGCCAGCGUUGCUCGGAAUUACUGGGCGUAAA